rnacentral:rRNA from 1 species
AUUGAACGCUGGCGGCAUGCCUUACACAUGCAAGUCGAACGGCAGCAUGGAGAGCUUGCUCUCUGAUGGGGAGUGGCGAACGGGUGAGUAAUGCAUCGGAACGUACCGUGUAAUGGGGGAUAACGUAGCGAAAGUUACGCUAAUACCGCAUACGACCUGAGGGUGAAAGCAGGGGAUCGCAAGACCUUGCGUUAUACGAGCGGCCGAUGUCAGAUUAGCUAGUUGGUGAGGUAAAGGCUCACCAAGGCGACGAUCUGUAGCGGGUCUGAGAGGAUGAUCCGCCACACUGGGACUGAGACACGGCCCAGACUCCUACGGGAGGCAGCAGUGGGGAAUUCUGGACAAUGGGGGCAACCCUGAUCCAGCCAUGCCGCGUGAGUGAAGAAGGCCUUCGGGUUGUAAAGCUCUUUCGGCCGGGAAGAAAUCGCACAGGCUAAUACUCUGUGUGGAUGACGGUACCGGCAUAAGAAGCACCGGCUAACUACGUGCCAGCAGCCGCGGUAA